rnacentral:lncRNA from 1 species
AGCGAAGACCAGAAACGAUAAAUCAUCCCCAGGUCACACAGGUAGGCGGUAACUCAAUCCUCUAGUGAGGGCACAUUGGGAGCCAGAGCUUCUGAUUCCUUUUCUUGUAGGAAACCACCAAUUGGCACAACAAAUUUUGCAGGUUUGUGCAAAGAGGGAACAGUGAACAGAAUCCCAAGAGAACAGAAGUCACACCCCAAAAUGCCCACAUGUGAGGUGCAACCCUUCUGAAGGGUAGAGAUCUUGUCCUUUUUCAUCCUCGAUCAUUUCAGCUACAUGAAAUGCAUCCAGAUGACACUAGCAGAGCACUGGCUUGAUUUAGAACGGAGCCACACACCUGUUCUUCUAAAUAUAAACAAAUUUGCAACCUGAGCCAUUGGCAGUCACUGCAGGGUAAGGGGGUGAGAGCUGGGGCCGGUGCUCGCCUGCAGGCUGGCUCUGGGCUUACACAAGGCCAAGGCUCUGGGCACAAGGGCCAAGGAUGCAGAAUGCCAGGCAGGAUAUUUGGAAUUGUGAUCUGGUGGUCACAGUGACCUUUUAUCUUGCCGGAGAGAUAAUAAUUAGCUUUAUUAUCCUUAUUGUUAUUUUUAAACGUGCUUAGUUCGCUCUUGUGGCUCAGCUUGUACCCAGCGUGUUGAAUGUUCCAGGUCUUCUUGGUUGAUAUGGAUGAACGUUGCCUGAGUUGCCAUGUUUGAAGAAAGCUUAUUCUAAAGGAAAUGGUUUGCUGAGAUCCAGAACACUAAUUUAAACCAUGGGGUAUUUUUAUUGUCUCUGUGAAGGCAACACUGUUUUGGAUUCUAGAGUUCCUGGCUAUUCAAAGUAUGUGACUACUCCCUCAUACUGUCAUGCCUCUUUCCAUUCUUGCUUAGAGGCCUUGCGAUCAUGCUGGAGUCCUUGGAAAUAUUCCAUAUUAUUCUUAACUGAUGGGAUGCUACAGAGGUCAUAUGGAUUUUUCAGAUGUCUGUCUUGUUGCGGAUGA